UACGAAGGGGGCCAGCGUUGCUCGGAAUUACUGGGCGUAAAGGGCGCGUAGGCGGACAGUUAAGUCAGAGGUGAAAGCCCAGGGCUCAACCCUGGAAUAGCCUUUGAUACUGGCUGUCUUGAGUGCGGGAGAGGCGUGUGGAACUCCGAGUGUAGAGGUGAAAUUCGUAGAUAUUCGGAAGAACACCAGUGGCGAAGGCGACACACUGGCCCGUAACUGACGCUGAGGCGCGAAAGCGUGGGGAGCAAACAGG
rnacentral:rRNA from 1 species